rnacentral:rRNA from 1 species
AUACGGAGGAUCCAAGCGUUAUCCAGAUUUAUUGGGUUUAAAGGGUGCGCAGGCGGCCUUAUAAGUCAGUGGUGAGAUCUCCCGGCUCAACCGGGAAACUGCCAUUGAUACUGUAGGGCUAGAAUACAGACGAGGUAGGCGGAAUGUAGCAUGUAGCGGUGAAAUGCUUAGAUAUGCUACAGAACACCGAUCGCGAAGGCAGCUUACCAGACUGUAAUUGACGCUAAGGCACGAAAGCGUGGGGAGCGAACAGGAUUAGAAACCCGGGUAGUCC